rnacentral:rRNA from 1 species
ACGAACGCUGGCGGCGUGCUUAACACAUGCAAGUCGAACGGUGAAGCGCCUUCCUUUUUGGUGGGUGUGGAUGAGUGGCGAACGGGUGAGUAACACGUGAGUAACCUGCCCCCUUCUUCUGGAUAACCGCAUGAAAGUGUGGCUAAUACGGGAUAUUCUGGGUCUGUCGCAUGAUGGGUCUGGGAAAGAUAUUGUUUCGGUGGGGGAUGGGCUCGCGGCCUAUCAGCUUGUUGGUGGGGUGAUGGCCUACCAAGGCGGUGACGGGUAGCCGGCCUGAGAGGGUGGACGGUCACAAUGGGACUGAGACACGGCCCAGACUCCUACGGGAGGCAGCAGUGGGGAAUAUUGCACAAUGGGCGCAAGCCUGAUGCAGCGACGCCGCGUGAGGGAUGGAGGCCUUCGGGUUGUGAACCUCUUUCGCCAGUGAAGCAGGCCUGCCUCGUUUGUGGGUGGGUUGACGGUAGCUGGAUAAGAAGCGCCGGCUAACUACGUG